rnacentral:rRNA from 1 species
UGGGGAAUCUUGCGCAAUGGCCGAAAGGCUGACGCAGCGACGCCGCGUGUGGGAGGAAGCUCUUCGGGGUGUAAACCACUGUUGCCCGGGACGAACAGCACUAUUCGUAGUGCCUGACGGUACCGGGUGAGGAAGCACCGGCUAACUCUGUGCCAGCAGCCGCGGUAAUACAGAGGGUGCGAGCGUUGUCCGGAAUCACUGGGCGUAAAGGGCGCGUAGGUGGUGGCUUAAGCGUGCGGUGAAAGCUCGGAGCUCAACUCCGAGUCGGCCGUGCGAACUGGGCUCACUGGAGCAUAGUAGAGGCAGGUGGAAUUCCGGGUGUAGCGGUGGAAUGCGUAGAGAUCCGGAAGAACACCGGUGGCGAAGGCGGCCUGCUGGGCUAUGGCUGACACUGAGGCGCGACAGCGUGGGGAGCAAACA